rnacentral:rRNA from 1 species
GACGAACGCUGGCGGCGUGCCUAAUACAUGCAAGUAGAACGCAGUUGCGAACGGGUGAGUAACGCGUAGGUAACCUGCCUCAUAGCGGGGGAUAACGAUUGGAAACGUUAGCUAAUACCGCAUACUGUGAGAUGGACCUGCGUUGUAGUAGCUAGUUGGUGAGGUAAAGGCUCACCAAGGCGACGAUACAUAGCCGACCUGGGAGGGUGAUCGGCCACACUGGGACUGAGACACGGCCCAGACUCCUACGGGAGGCAGCAGUAGUGAAUCUACGGCAAGGGACGGAAGACUGAGCGAGCAACGCCGCGGUAAUUC